rfam:Neotoma lepida isolate 417 scaffold_101494, whole genome shotgun sequence.
GUGUGUGAGGAUGCGCUGCUGUGUUACCCAUUGGUCAGGGAUUGGUUUGGGUAAUCUGGCUGGCUAGGCAGGUGUUGCUUGCCCCUCUCUCUACUCCACAUGAGCCCUUCCUGAAGCCCUUGAUCAAAGAAGAGACGGAGAGGAACAUUCUUUGGUGAAGAGUAAAUGAUUAGGUAUGCUUCCUUUCUAUAACCUCCACACAAGCUGGCAAGAUCUAUUUGCAGGAGAAUGUGNCCAAGUUUUCAGGAACCUAGGCACAUCUGAAUGAGGUACUACAUCUGGCAGUGUGCCUUUAGCU